rnacentral:rRNA from 1 species
UACGAAGGGGGCUAGCGUUGCUCGGAAUCACUGGGCGUAAAGCGCACGUAGGCGGAUUGCUAAGUCAGGGGUGAAAUCCUGGAGCUCAACUCCAGAACUGCCUUUGAUACUGGCGAUCUCGAGUCCGGGAGAGGUGAGUGGAACUGCGAGUGUAGAGGUGAAAUUCGUAGAUAUUCGCAAGAACACCAGUGGCGAAGGCGGCUCACUGGCCCGAUACUGACGCUGAGGCACGGAAAGCGUGGGGAGCAAACAGG